AUAUAAAAUAAAAUAAAAUAAACAAACAAAAAAAUAUAACUGCCUUACGAGAUGUAACACAUGACUCCUAAGGAGGGAAAAGCAAGUUGGCAACAGGCCCAGGUGAAUACAUACCUAGUGAGCAAAUCACCUCCUUAUGUGAUUACUUAGUGGCUUUUACUGCACUGAUGGGGGGCCAGAGCUUGCUUUUAGUCACACCCAUGAAGUCUGGGUGAGACUCCGUAAUGUAGAGCAAACUUUGACUUUGGGAAUAUUUGCAAUUUGCCUACGAAAAAGAGGUAUUCCAGAGAAGCGACUCAAGACCCCUCCAUAAGGAAUUUGUUGUUGUUGUUGUGAGCCUAAUUGAGGAACGAGGUGAAAACAGGGCUGGGUCCUGGGAACCCUUUACUAAGUCUGCAAAGUGCCCCCCCAUCACCUCUCGAAUUUCAUAUGUUGGACACCAUUCAGUUCCACCGCACACUGGCACACCUUGGUCCUAUAUUGUGCUGAGAUAAAGAUAAUCCGUUUCUGUGCCUCCGUUAGGGUUUAUAAGGAAGUCUGCAGAGCUGGAUGAAAAUGGAAAUGUCCAAUGAGAAAUAAACAUCUUGGUGGCUGUCGCUUGUGGCUGUGACCAGGGCUCUUCCCCAAGUGGAGUGAGGAGGAGGGUGCCCGGGAAUAGGCAACGUUGCCAGGGCCACGGCUGCAGGAUCUUCUGUUUAAUGCGACAAGGGCUGAAUCGUGUUCCCUGAUGCUCCGUGGAUGCGUUGCCAGGAGGAGAUAUGAAGCAGGCUGAGUAUCUUAGAUGUGGUGCCUUAGCCAACAUGCGCUCAGAACCAGAGCCCCUUGGCUUGGGGCCUGGAAUUAAGG